AUUUCAACAAGUGUAGGACAUAAUUUUUUUUUUCUUUUUGAGAGAGAAAAAGGUAAAAUAUUAUUCGCUUUAUUUAUUUUAUUUAAAAAUGAACUCGGCUGAUUCGCUGAAUGCCUAAAAAUAUGAAGCAACUAGAUUUCGCACUUGCGACUUUAGAUACCAACCACCAAGUUCUUAACCAAUUGCACUAAAAAUGUUUUAAUCCACUAGCUAUUAG
rnacentral:lncRNA from 1 species